rnacentral:rRNA from 1 species
ACGAUGAUCCGGUGCUUGCAUCGGGGAUUAGUGGCGAACGGGUGAGUAACACGUGAGUAACCUGCCCUGGACUCUGGGAUAACUUCGAGAAAUCGGAGCUAAUACCGGAUAGGACCUUUCCUCGCAUGAGGUUUGGUGGAAAGUUUUUCGGUUUGGGAUGGACUCGCGGCCUAUCAGCUUGUUGGUGAGGUAAUGGCUCACCAAGGCGUCGACGGGUAGCCGGCCUGAGAGGGUGACCGGCCACACUGGGACUGAGACACGGCCCAGACUCCUACGGGAGGCAGCAGUGGGGAAUAUUGCACAAUGGGCGCAAGCCUGAUGCAGCAACGCCGCGUGCGGGAUGACGGCCUUCGGGUUGUAAACCGCUUUUAGUAAGGAAGAAGGGCAGUCUUUGGGCUGUUUGACGGUACUUGCAGAAAAAGGACCGGCUAACUACGUGCCAGCAGCCGCGGUAAUACGUAGGGUCCGAGCGUUGUCCGGAAUUAUUGGGCGUAAAGAGCUCGUAGGCGGUUUGUCGCGUCUGCUGUGAAAUCCCGAGGCUCAACCUCGGGUCUGCAGUGGGUACGGGCAGACUGGAGUGCGGUAGGGGAGAAUGGAAUUCCUGGUGUAGCGGUGGAAUGCGCAGAUAUCAGGAGGAACACCGAUGGCGAAGGCAGUUCUCUGGGCCGUAACUGACGCUGAGGAGCGAAAGCGUGGGGAGCGAACAGGAUUAGAUACCCUGGUAGUCCACGCCGUAAACGUUGGGCGCUAGAUGUGGGGACCUUUCCACGGUUUCCGUGUCGUAGCUAACGCAUUAAGCGCCCCGCCUGGGGAGUACGGCCGCAAGGCUAAAACUC